rnacentral:RNase_P_RNA from 1 species
UUACGCAAACGCUGCUAGUUUUAAUUGGUAGAGGAAAGUCCACGCUCACACGGUUCUGUAAUUGAUCGUAGUGUUCAUGCAAAGGGAAUAAAUAACCUUUGGUAGGUAUAACCUAACGGCGCUGAAAUAACCUAUAGUCUUCUUGAUAUGGUUAUGUUAAGCAUAAAGUGCCAUAGUGACGAUUUGAUUUGGAAACGAAUCAGGUGGAACGGGUAAACCCCAUGAGUGAGAAACCCAAAUUUGGUAGGGGAACUGCUUUGAAGGAACAAAAACGGAUAAGUGGAUGCAUAAAUGCAUAGAUAAAUGUUUGCGACCAUGUAUAUGGUACAGAACGUGGCUUAUU